CACGUAGGGCGCGAGCGUUGUCCGGAAUUAUUGGGCGUAAAGAGCUCGUAGGCGGCCUGUUGCGUCCGCUGUGAAAGCCCGGGGCUUAACCCCGGGUCGGCAGUGGAUACGGGCAGGCUAGAGGUAGGUAGGGGAGAAUGGAAUUCCCGGUGUGAGCGGUGAAAUGCGCAGAUAUCGGGAGGAACACCGGUGGCGAAGGCGGUUCUCUGGGCCUUACCUGACGCUGAGGAGCGAAAGCGUGGGGAGCGAACAGG
rnacentral:rRNA from 1 species